GAGACAUUUGUCUGUUCUGUGGUCACUGCCUCAGGAAAGGGAUGUGAUGGUAAAAAACAGAGGAAAGGAAGUGUCUCCUGGCCUUUAAGUUUCAAAAGCUUAAGUCCUCAGGAAAACCCAAACCACUCUUGGCAUAGUAGGCCGUAGAUUCUGGAGAAAUAGGGUGAGUGAGAGCAAAUAAUUUCACCUCUGAGAUGAGAAAGAGUCCACCUAUCUGGGGCAAAGGUGAGGUGAAGAGGUAAAACCAUAAAUGUGGAUAUUUUUGUGGGGAGAGAAUAAGGAGCUGGACCCUAUUUCCAGAGCACGGGCCCUGGGGCAGGUGGCAAAUCCCAAGGACGUUUUGUGGGAUUUAGGUGCAGAGAGAGCUGUACACUCUUUCCUGGCAGAACGGUAUCGCUGGGGAGGCCGCAAGGCUCUAGAGAAGAGAUGGUUGCAUGAAAUGUCUACGUGGAUGGAGACUCCAGCAGAAUUUCUGGUGCCUAAUUAGAGAUCUAGAAGAGCAGAAAGAUUCCUGUGCAUCCAGGAGGGAUACAGAAGCAGCAGAGAGACCUGAAAAGGGACCACAGGAAUGGAAUUGAUUGGGUUCAGACUGUGUGGACUGUCACCUCAGGACCACAAGAGACGUCCUAAUGGUGGAUAUUUCAGGUGGAGCAGGUGGUGUGAGUGGAGACCUACUGGGCUUUUGGGAGGGAUUUUUGGUGAAUAGUUCUGCACAGACAGUAAGAAGCUAUCAGGGUGGAAGACAAGGGCUAACUUCCCUGAAGUCCUUGCCUUGUGUGGCUGGGCAACCAAGUGGACCCCUCCUGGACUUGAAUCAGUUCAGGGUCACUGCAAGGAUCAAAUGAUAUAAUACACACGGAGCAGAGACGGAACACAGAGCUGGCUGCACUAAGUACUAAGAAACUGCUUAUCUGGACUGUGCAGAGGACCUUUCUGUCCUGGCUUUAAUGCCAGCUCCUGGAACACUUACUGGGGGCUACACUGCCCAGAUGGCUCCUGCUAGGCCCAUGCCUGAGAGAUAAGACUGGUCACAGCAAUGAGGUAAGUCUGUGAAGAGCAGCCUGGACCCACCUGGUUGCCCAGAGCCCUUACUGUCUGUUUCAUAUCCUUCACCUCUCUUUACCAUCUACUCCCCUCAUCCUAUGCUUGGUCUGGACUGUGCUAUUAGUCUCAGCUCCAUCCUACUCACUCUGUCACCGUCUCACCUUCUCAAAGCCUGGCUCCAGUCAUACCUGGUUGAGAAAAUGUGUCUGUCAAUGGUGACCUCCUCAAGGGACCCCCAAAUCAAGUUCCUGGGAUCCACAUUCAAAGCCUCUUGUGAUCUGGCCCCAGCCUUAUCUUCCCCUGGUCCCCAUCAUGUCCCCCACAUGCCAUCCAAAUGCCUGACCCUGACCUAGUCUACCCUGACCUCAUCUACUCGUUCGACUGAUUGCUUCUCUGUGCUGGGGGUGGGGUCCACCCCUUGGAACUUCCCAGUACCUGUCCCUUCCCAGUACCGCUCUUGACUUUUACCACUUUCCACCUCGUAUUGUAGUUAAUUUGUGUAUAGGUUGCUUUUGGGGCUGAACCACAAGGGCAAAUACCUGUGGGAGGAAGACAUGACGUGUGGACGUCCAGAAACGAAGAAGAAUCAAGUUGGCCUUCUCCACCUCAAGGGACUGUGGGUGGAGGACAAGGAGAGAGAGAAGCAGAGGGAGGGGCUGGUGAGAAGCUCCGUGCCGACAUCACCUCUGAGCUCAAGUGCCAUCUCACAGGACCCCUCUAGGUUGAGGAGAAAGCUGAUGAGGAAGAUAAGGAAUCUAAGAGUGGAAUGAAGGCAGUAAGCUUAGAAGAUGAGUCUCAGGUUUUCAUGGAGCAGAGCCAUCCAGAUGUGGACUGCCUACUUUGGGAGUGCAAUAUACAAGAAAAAUAAACCUUCAUCAUAUUUAAGCACCAUCAAGGAGGAACCCUGAUUGGCCAAACUUGGUUCAGCUGCUCUCCCUGGAGACCAAUCAGUCAUUGUCAGAAGGCAUGCUAUGCAAGAGAACUGCACCUGCAGAAUGUGUAUAUGUGGAUUUCAUACGUGGAGACGGAAUUUUAUACAAUUGAGUAUGUGUUACUUUCACAAUGAAUGAUGAGACUUGAUGAAAACCUCUCAGUGACAGUGAUGGACAGAAGUGAGACCACAGGGAGGGGGGCAGAUUGGUACCUCUAUCCUGGAAGCCCCAUGAGGGGUCAGAAGCUGAAUCAGUGUUCAGGAGCAGAGAUCCUUGAAGUGACUUUUGAACAAUGAGUAGAAGUGUGCAGGAGAAGAAGAACCUUCCAAAUGUACCAGUAUGUGAAAUAUACAUUUUAGGAUGUGUACUGCACCCUUGUUCACAGAAGAUGUGGGAGGCUCAUUGGCAGCAGAAUGGCAGAAUGAACUGUGGUCCAAUCACACCAAGGAAUAUUUUAAAACCAUUAAAAGUAGUGGAUUAGAGUUGC